rnacentral:lncRNA from 1 species
UUUUUCUUUUCUUUUUUUUUUUUUUUUUUGAGAUGGAGUCUUGCUCUAUUGCUUAGACUGGAGUGCAAUGGUGUGAUCUCGGCUCACUGCAACCUCCAUCUUCUGGGUUCAAGUGAUUCUUCUGCCUCAGCCUCCCAAGUAGCUUGGAUUACAGGCGUGCACCACCCUGCCCAGCUAAGUUUUGUAUUUUUCGUAGAGCUGGGGUUUUGCCACGUUGGCCAGGCUGGUCUUGAACUCCGAACCUUAGGUGAUCCACCCAGCUUGGCCUCCCAAAGUGCUGGAAUUACAGGUGUGAGCCACCGUGGCCAACCUUUUUUUUCUUUUUCUUUGACUAGUCUUGUCUAUUAGUUAUUUCAAAGAAGUAGCUUUGAUUCUAUUGAACCUCAAUGUAUUUUACAAUGCUAUUGAGGUAUAAUAUACACAAAAAUUCAUUUAUUUACAAAAAUGAAAGUUUGAAAUUCAGUUAUUUUUGGCAAAUUUACUAAGUUAUGAAAUUGUCCCCAUUGUGCAGUUUUAGAACAUUUUCAUCACUCCCAAUUAGACUGUUUAUUGUUCAUGUACAGUGAAUUCCCAUUUCAUACCCUGUUCCAGGCAACCAUUAAUCUACUUUCUGUCUGUAUGGAUUUGCCUUUUCUAGACAUUUCAUAUAAAUGGAAAUUUAUAGAACACAGGAUUUUGUGUCUGGCUUCUUUCACUUAAUGAUAUUGAAUGAAUGAAUCUCUCUCUCUCUCUCUCUCUCUCUCUCUCUCUCUCUCUCCCUCUCUCCCCUCAAGCUCUUAGAGCUGGUCAGAGACCUCUGACCUUCACAGCCCUCCAGGCCUACAGCUUUCGGGAAGUCAAAGCCUUCAUCUCCUAGUACGGAACAACCUCCUUGGUCUCCCCACCCCUUUGGUAUGGCUUUCAGCAUGUUCUAGGAGGUUCAGACAGCGCCUGACUCAAUGAGAACGGUCAGCGAUGAGCAGCAUUUCCUUCUUUUAAAGACCGUCUACAAUUCCAGGCACUCCUGCAGCUGUGGAAACAUUCUGAACGGCUUAGCAACCUUUACUCAGGACACUCUCUGUGCCGACCACUACCAGCAUCGCAGGCUUCUUUAGCUGGCUUUCCCAGUGGAAAACCAUGCUUGGUGUUUGAACACUGCUCAAGAGAUAUUUUCCAACAAAGCACCGAAGAAGGGGCGAAAACACCUCAACCCAGCCGUUCUCUGGGGUUGGAGCUACUGAAGUGUGACAUUCGCGAAGACUCAACUUGUUUAUGACACAGGGUCCAAAUAAUAAGCCUUGCAGACUGCCCGCCCCCAGCACUCUCCUUAGAUUCAGCUAAAAGCAUGUUAUAACCGUUUAUAGGACAAACAGGCAACAGUAGCAGUGAAGUGACUCAGGUGGCCAUGAUCGAGAAAGGUGCUCAAAGAAGACUUCCGUUUGAUCUGUAUGUAGUGCACUCAUCUUUUUUGAAACCAACACAUUAAAAAUUAGAAUAAAGUUUUUAAUAUGCAAAUACAUCUGCAAACCCAUCAUGAAGCAUAAGAUAAAUCACUGCCAAAGGAGCUUUUUCUUCCAGCUCUUUAAUCAUGGCAGGUUUGUGGAUCGCGGACGGGGAGGCCCUGGAAAGCAGGACCGCGCCAGGAAGCCGGGGCCUUCAGGGACUGGCCGCGGCUCCACAGGCGCUGCCCGUCGCACACUAGGAGGCAGCACCGCGCCGAGGAACCCGCAGCAGACGAGCAGCCAGCGUGUGUGCCCGGGGCGAGUGCCCUCGCCUGAGGGCGUCCCCAUAGUAAAAGUGGGGGCGAGGGCAGCCUCGCGGGAUAGCUGCGGGAGGAUUAAAUGAACAAGUGCAGGUUCACCUUCUGGGCGCUGACAACGAUCCGUGGGCUCUCGCGAAAUGCCAAGUCGCCGUCCCCUUCGCUCCCACAAAAGUUCUGGGAGCCACGAGGCGCGGCGGGCUGGCUCCUGAGUCCAUGAGCGGUCCCACCCAGCGGUCCCCGAAGCUUCUCCAAAGCCCAGCCCGCGGCUCGCGGCGCGU